UACGAGGGGUGCAAGCGUUAUUCGAAAUUACUGGGCGUACAGGGUGCGCAGGCGGUGUAUUAAGUCUGUUGUUAAAGCCCCCAGCCUAACUGGGGAAGUGCGGCAGAUACUAAUACGCUAGAGGAUGGAAGAGAGAAGUGGAAUUCUUGGAGUAGCGGUAAAAUGCGUAGAUCUCAAGAGGAACACCGAUGGCGAAGGCAGCUUCUUGGUCCAUUUCUGACGCUCAUGCACGAAAGCGUGGGGAGCAAACAGG
rnacentral:misc_RNA from 1 species